CCCACCGUCUGAUGAAGGAGACCCACGCAGCCCUGCUACGUGACUUGGCCCAUCCUGCCCUAUACUCCUGGCCACAGCAGCCUGACCAGUCUCACAUCCCUCAGGUCUGCACUGACUCUCGCCUAUGUGGACCUCAGGCCGGCCUCAGCGACCAGUGAAAGCACUGGUCCAAACAGGUUUUGGAAGGCUAGAGCAGCUUCCGUGCUGAGAGUCACCAGGAAGGACAUGCCACCCACGGGCAUCAAAGGAAUGGAAAAGCAAACAGGAAUGGUUAGAAUGACCAGCCGUAUGUAUAAAGUACUGAAGCCGAAUGUCAAGCACCCCCUCGGCCCCCAACAAACAGCACACACCUAACCAGCUAGAGUUCCCAGCUCUGGGAACCUUCCCUGCCAGAGGCUCCCUGAGGCCCGUACAGCUGGACUCGUAUGGGCUUGCUUUGCCAUCAUCAGAUGAAGCGCUCGUCAGCCAAUAAGUAAGCCAUUACUCAAUGGGUUAAGGUGGAAAACGGACCUUCUGCGCUCAAAAUGUGGCAACUGGCCGCCAAAUGACAUGCCCAGACAGAGGGCUCCAGGGAGAGAAGCUCCUGUACGGUGUCACAUCGGAAUCGACAAGAGGGCGAGGCUGAUGAGUCAAAAGGCAGAGGAGUAUAGAGGAAAGGAACCUGGUAUUUGGUGUCAGGAGGCCCUGAAGCGCCUGCCCCACCACUACUUCCUGAAUGGCCUUGACAGUGGUUCAGCCUCUCAAAACUUCGGUUUCCUCCUCUGUAAAGUGCAAGUUGUCAUCCUGGCCCCUGGGUCACUAACAGAACCGAUAUGUGGCUGGAAUGAAAUAAGAUUGUUGCAGCAGUGGCCCUCAAUUGGUUCACACCUCCCUGAAUCCACACCGUUGGGUGAUACCUUUCACACUGACUCCAGGUGUGGCCAUGUAACUUGCUUUAGCCAGAGACAAGAGCAAAUAUGACCCAGCAGAAGUUUUAUAGUGAUUGCAUGUUGAAGCUUGCCCUCCCAUAUGCCCUUUGGCACCCCAAGAACGCCGUGAUGAGAUCGCCGUGCAAAGCCUGGGCUUGAGGUUGAGACAGCAUAUGGAGCAGAGACAAGCCAUCCCAGCAGAGUCCUCCUCAACAAACAAGCCUAUCAAUCUCCAGCUCGGUAUGGCCACCUGUCCUCCUUAGAACCACCGGAUUUCAAGGAAAAAAGGAUGAAGCUUGCGAUCUCCCCUGACUUCACAUCUGGCUUCAGCCCAAAGUUACUCAAAACUUGAAUUUAGGUAGGAUUUAUGUAAAGACUUGUAUUUCUUAUUGAUUGAGAGAGAGAGUGCACAUGCACAAGUUGAAGGGAUUGGAAGAGCAGAGGGAGAGGGAGAGAGAGAAUCUCCAGGAGACUCCCCACUGAGCAGGGCACCCCAUGUGGGGCUGGAUCUCAUGACCAGAGAUCAUGACCUGAACAGAAACCAAGAGUCGGGCACUUAGUUGACUGAGCCACCCAGGUGCCCCAAGACUUAUAUUUCUUUAAAGAGGGAUUUGGGGACCAGGAAAGAACCAGCAUGCCUGUAAUAUAAGUAACAGCUCUACUGCCAAUUUGAGAAAAAGGGAAACUGAGGCAGGGCACAGUAAAUGUGAUGUGAGCCAGUACUUUUGCAGCCAGUACUUUUGACUUCCCAUAAGCCAAUUCACAUCAAAACCAUAUAAUCAUAUGCCCAAACCAAACUGUAGCAUCUCUGUGGAUUCCUCUAAAUAAAGUGCCGCCUGGACCAUGCCACCCAGGGGAUGGUUUGUGGUUCUUUCUGACUGAGGACUUCUGUGGUGCCAGCCUGGCCUCGGGCGGAAUCAUGGUCUUCCUAAAGGAACAGAGGUUUAUGUGUUGGCUCCCUGGGACACUCAGGAGUCCCUUUCUCAUGCUGCUCUGUGUUGGAAAGACAAAUAGCCUAUCCCUUUGGCACAGGACCAUCAUGGUCCUUAUCCCAAGGCAGACAGGCCGUGGGAAUUGGAAAACUCAGGAUCAUCAUGCUGCAAAAGCCUUAAAACACUCCCAGUCCAUCCUCCAUUUUAUGGAGCAGGACACUGAGGCCCCAAAAGGUUAGGAGGUCAAGUCACCUUCACCUUUAAGAUUAUGUGAGGGGAGUACAGUGCUGCAGCCUCCCACCAGGCCUCCCAAACUACUUGGCGCUGCUUCGCCUGCACCAUCCCAGCAUCCCUGAAGCCCCCUGUGCAAAGACUUCCUCUAGCCUCAUGGAAAGAUGUGAACACCUUCACAGUAUCCAUUCAUUAAUAUGAGGAUUGACACUGAGGAUUACUCAAGCAUGUGUUUUCAUGCCAGAUUUUAUUUUAUUUAUUAUUAUUUUUUAAAAGAUUUUAUUUCUUGAGAGAGUGCACAUGUGUGAGAGCAGGGGGAGGGGCAGAGGGAAAGGGAGAGAGAAUCUCAAGCAGACUCCCGGCUGAGUGCGGAUCCAGCUCUGAGCUCCAUCUCUUGACCCGGAGUUCAUGACCUGAGCUGAAAUUAAGAGUUAGAUGCUCAACCGGCUGAGCCACCCAGGUGCCCCUGGGUCAGAUUUUAAAUAUACAUCUGUGCUAAUAAAAGUAGCAACUAGGGCAGCCCCGCUGGCUCAGCGGUUUAGUGCUGCCUGCACCCCGGAGUGUGAUCCUGGAGACUCGGGAUUGAGUCCCAUGUCGGGCUCCCUGCAUGGAGCCUGCUUCUCCCUCUCCCUCUGCCUGUGUCUCUGCCUCUCUCUGUGUGUCUCUAUGAAUAAAUAAAUAAAUAAUCUUAAAAUAAAUAAAAAUAAAAGUAGCAAUUAGCCACAUGUAGCGACUGAGCUCUUGAAAUGCAGCUACUAUAAAUUAACAUGUGCUGUAACUGUAAAAUAUACAUCAGAAUUUGUAGUUGGUAUGAAAAAGUACUUAAUUUUCAUGCUGAUUGCAUAUUGAAAUAACAUUUUAGCUAUAUCAGAUAUUAUUUAGUGUACUACUAAAAUUUAUGGAUGAAAAAAUAAAAUUUAUGGAUGUGUUUUUACUUUUUAAAAUGUGGCUACUAGAAGAUUUAAAAUGACAUCUGGUUCACAUUACAUAUCUGUUGGACAAGAGUAUAGACCCUGCCUUCUGCUUUGCAUUCAUCUGAUAUUCAGUUAGAAUCACUUGGUGUACGUGCACUUAACAUACUUACCCUAGAGGAAGGGGGAGGAGGGGAGACAGAGGGAAAAAAGCAGGUGACUUUGUGUCCCACGGAGUGUGAAAUAGGACAUAAUGAUUCCACUGUCCCCUUCGGGAGGGGGGGUCCCAAUUCCCAUGCUUGGCUCCCAUUGGGUGAACACCUUAUACUUUCCCAAGAGUAGAGUCCAGUGUUUUUCCACCUGCACCAACGUGGAUAAAGCUCAAGAACCU